rnacentral:rRNA from 1 species
GACGAACGCUGGCGGCGUGCCUAAUACAUGCAAGUCGAGCGAAUGGAUUAAGAGCUUGCUCUUAUGAAGUUAGCGGCGGACGGGUGAGUAACACGUGGGUAGCCUGCCCAUAAGACUGGGAUAACUCCGGGAAACCGGGGCUAAUACCGGAUAACAUUUUGUACCGCAUGGUUCGAAAUUGAAAGGCGGCUUCGGCUGUCACUUAUGGAUGGACCCGCGUCGCAUUAGCUAGUUGGUGAGGUAACGGCUCACCAAGGCAACGAUGCGUAGCCGACCUGAGAGGGUGAUCGGCCACACUGGGACUGAGACACGGCCCAGACUCCUACGGGAGGCAGCAGUAGGGAAUCUUCCGCAAUGGACGAAAGUCUGACGGAGCAACGCCGCGUGAGUGAUGAAGGCUUUCGGGUCGUAAAACUCUGUUGUUGGGGAAGAACAAGUGCUAGUUGAAUAAGCUGACACCUUGACGGUACCUAACCAGAAAGCCACGGCUAACUACGUGCCAGCAGCCGCAGUAA